UCCUGGUUUCCCAGGCAGUCCCAUCAGAGUGCUCUCUUACGAGAUAGCAACUGACAGCAGGGGUUGCGCUCGUUAUAGGACUUAACCCAACAUCUCACGACACGAGCUGACGACAGCCAUGCAGCACCUGUGUAUACGUCUCAGGUUUCCCUGAGAAGACCCCGUUUCUGGGGCUAGCAUAUACAUGUCAAACCUAGGUAAGGUUCCUCGCGUAGUGUCGAAUUAAACCACAUGUUCCACCGCUUGUGCGGACCCCCGUCAAUUCCUUUGAGUUUUAAUCUUGCGACCGUAGUCCCCAGGCGGAUCACUUAACGCGUUAGCUACGACACUAAUUCUGCAGAGCAGAACUAACGUCUAGUGAUCAUCGUUUACGGCGUGGACUAC
rnacentral:misc_RNA from 1 species